UUCAUUUCACAAAGAAAUUCACACGUCAGAUGCAUAUCUCAAAAAGAUCACACAUCUCCCUUUUGGAUUUUUCCACGGACUCAAAACAGUUUUUGGCAGAAAAAGAUUCGUCCUUUUCCUUUAUUCCCCAGGUCAUGCGCACACACAACGGACACUCACCCGUCCCCUGCAAAUGGAGUUUUGCUCCUCCUUGAUCUCUAUGAUAAAAACACGCACCCGGGAACAAGAAGGCAGAGAAAUACAGAUCUAAAAAACCAGAUCUGGGAAAAGGAGGGAGGAGCAGCCGCACAAACAAAAAGAACUUUUCUUCUCCUCCAUUUUUUCUUUACUCUGUUGUGAGCUCACUAUAGAAGCCAUAAAAACUUCUGCACCAAACUCGUGAAAAUGCAGCCAUGAAAGGCCAAUGUUCAGCUUCUUCCUUGUGCCUUAUUCGCUACCAAAAUAGCCACAAAACACCUCAAAAAAGCUUACAAACACCUAAAACAACCAGAUCUUCAUCAUCAAGCAUUUUCUCCAUAAAAAGUGGUUCAGUUUUCUCCAUUAAAACCAAGUAAACAGCCCCAAAAACCACCCUAAAACACCCGCAAAAUAGCUCGAAAAUAGCUGGAAACCAGUCAUUAAAACCUGCAAAAACGUAGCAGCUCUGACCCUGUUGAGCUUCAAAUUUUCCCGAUAGGCUUCGAGGUCGCCGCCGUUGAGGAUCGUUCGUGGUUCGGUUCGCGUUUCUGCCCAAAGUAUGAUCGUCGUGUCGAGUUCCGGUCGCAACUAUCCCUUUGUUUCCGUCCGUGUGACUGCUGGAAUUUUUAUUAAUUGAAAACAACUUCAGACUAAAAAUAGUUGAUUAGAGUUUCAAUACACAACUAGCACAUAAGGUCCAAACCUAUAUACACCGACUCGUGCUGCAUCAGGUACAGCUUCCAUUACAAGUGAUUCCAACGCAGGGACUUGCAAAGACCAGUACUUAGUUUCAGACCAUUUGUUUGAAACUAAAUAAAGUAAAGAUUUCUAGACGUUUGUAAUGAUCUAAGAAAGAGACCGUCAAAUUAGCAACAGCCUUAUCUAGACGCUCAUGAACCGUGUUAACUAGAUCAGUGCAUGAAGGACAGUGGACGGAAGAUGUCUUCUUAACACCAGUUUUAUGGCAGAUACAGCACACUGUGUCUCAUGGGUGCUAAACACAUCCCAGCACUGAGCUAACCGGUUAUGUAGAAUGGGCAUUGCAAGUUUCACCACCAAUUGAACAGGAUUGGCAUCAGCGUCAUCAAAGCUAUUUGGAUUUUCAUCUGUAGGGAGUCCAUACUUAUGAAGCAAAGUAUAGGUGGAAUGACGCAAAAUUAUAGUUCAAAGUUAAAUCUUAAAAGAGCAUGUAUAUAUGUAUAUUUUACAUAUUAGAAUCUUUUUAUAAGUCAAAAGUUCCUUACCAAGAUGGUGUUAGAGAUGUGAAAAAUUUGUAUAGAUGUGAAUAUAUGGCUCAACGACAUCUUUUCGUAUUUGAA